rnacentral:rRNA from 1 species
GACGAACGCUGGCGGCGUGCUUAACACAUGCCAGUCGAACGGAAAGGCCCUGCUUGCAGGGUACUCGAGUGGCGAACGGGUGAGUAACACGUGGGUGAUCUGCCCUGCACUUCGGGAUAAGCCUGGGAAACUGGGUCUAAUACCGGAUAGGAGCCAUUUUUAGGGUGAUGGUUGGAAAGUUUUUUCGGUGUAGGAUGAGCUCGCGGCCUAUCAGCUUGUUGGUGGGGUAAUGGCCUACCAAGGCGGCGACGGGUAGCCGGCCUGAGAGGGUGGACGGCCACAUUGGGACUGAGAUACGGCCCAGACUCCUACGGGAGGCAGCAGUGGGGAAUAUUGCACAAUGGGCGCAAGCCUGAUGCAGCGACGCCGCGUGGGGGAUGACGGCCUUCGGGUUGUAAACUCCUUUCGCUAGGGACGAAGCUUUUUGUGACGGUACCUAGAUAAGAAGCACCGGCUAACUACGUG